GAGUUUAAUACUUCUAAAUACAUAUACAUCUAUGGGUUAAGGCUAGAUGGCAUACAGCAAAAACUACUGGACAUGCGCACAUCAAUAUAGCGUAAUUUUUCUCACACUGUACAGCAAUAAUUACUAAUUUUGCAUUAUUGUAAGGGGUAGGUUUAGGGUUGGGGUAGGUGUAGACGUUAAUAAAACACAAUCUAAUAGAUAGAAAAUUAAAUUUAUUGUUAGGUUCCGGUUUGUGCUGUAUCCCUCUAGCCACAACCGCAGAGCCGUAAAAUGUCGUGAAGUCAGAUCCUGCGCUAUAAAAUGUGGCGCUCUUCGUCCGGUGUCUUUCUCAGCUUCAGCCCGUCUGCGAGUGCUUGUGAAGAAGUGUGGCUUAAACUAGGGAAUUCUUAGGCCUCUCCGUGUUUAUAAUGUGUAGUAAGCGACACAUACAGAAUGGUAANUGGUUUGGAAAGAAAAUGCACAGUAAUAGUCACAGUCUAGUCAUAGUGGGCUUAGGAACUAGUGCAGUGCAAAAAUUACAAUUCCCUUCUCUUGCAACUCACUGUUGUGGCCACCAAAUAACAGUGCUACUUAUGAGAAGAGACAUUUUUGCCAAAGAAAAUAUUGCUGUUUUUUUUUUUUAUUACAUGUCAUUUCAAAUGAGGGGUGUGUGCUUUCAGGGUUCGGAUGGCGUAAAAGGUCCUCUUGUGAACAGACCGGCCAGUUGGGCUUCAGAACAAAAUGUAGGUGAAUAAUCCUGGGAAUGAAUGCAUAAAAUGCAUUUUUUGCAUCUAAAGAAGCUUAUCCUGAUGGUAAGUGUCACUGAAUGACGUUUUAAUAAUAGUAACUCUUAUUUUAUCUGUAACAUUUCAAAAUGUAUUAAAUUUAUUUGGUUUAAUUGAGGUCUAUCCCGACUUGCCCCUCUCAGUAGAGCUUAGUCGUUGGAAAUGCCUCAGAGAUUAAGUCUGUAGUAUCGCUUUACCCAUGUCGCUGAUAUCAUUAGCUUUGUGGGAUAACGCUGCAGUACAUUCAAUGAGCUUAAAGGAUGUACCUUAAUUUGUAAGGCAUAGAGAAGAACAAUCUCAACUUGAAAUUUCCUCUCUGUAGGUGUGAUCUGAAGGAUGCCCACUAGAAGGCACAACACCCCGGUUUUGGUGAUUGGAGGUUUGUAAUGUUAAAGUGGUUUAUUAGAAAUCUUAGUCAGCACUGUUGGUAUCUGCAUCCAGUUGUAUGUGACUGACUGGAAUGUUCAUAUGCCAGUGCUAGAGAACCUUGACACACGCUCUUAUUGGACCUUAUGUGUUUGUUGUUGGGUCCUGGUGGUGGUCGAGACAAGGCCUUAUUUAUUUUUUUUUAAUAUAAUGCAGCCAGUUUAUAAGCACUUCACACAAGUGUUGAAAAGUUGGUUGCUACACGUUGCAUUCCCAGAUGCAGAGAUGAAUUUGUGUGGAGCAACACUUACUGUGAACCAAGCUGCGCCGAGACACUGAAGAGACCGCUUCAUGUAUAAGAAUGCAGUGCCGUGCAAAAUUGAAACCGCAGUAUUUGAUGAUUGAAAUGAGCCAUAUUGUGAUUUUGGUUUUACUUCAAUUAAUCACGCAGCUCAAGCUGGAAGCCAAGCUGUUUUUGAUGUGAACUUUUCUGCACAGCCUCUCUAGUGCAGUGCGGGUGUGCUUUCAAUUCUCUCACAUAUCCAACAUGUCAUCCCCAGGAUAACUGCUCACUGCGACCUACUUGUUUUCGAUGACUUCUGACAUUUUCAAUUGCUCAGUGCGUCUUGAUGAUCCUGAUGUGUCCGUGUUGUCCCCACAGGUCCCAUAUGGCUAGAUUGAAGAAUGAAUGUUCUUCCAGUACUGUAAAAAAAGUAAGGGAUUUGUUCUUAAACCUUCCCUGUCUGUGAUGUAUUUGGUCAUAUACCAAGGCUUUUAGGAUACAUAGUUCCUGACUUGCUGUGGACAUGACCGAAAAUUAAAACCCAUCCUAAUGAGUCGCUUCAGUUGUAUUUCUGUUGGGAUUUAUUAGGAACAUUUCCUUAAAUGCCCUCAAUACGCAACUCAAUGCAAGGUUGUACGUCUUUAAUUGUUUUUUCUGUAACAGGUUUGGAGUUGGAGUGAAGGGUUUCCCAGCCAGACUUUUCUUGGAAGGUGAGAGCUGUUCCACAUCUUUGGAUCACUUUCAAAGGGGGUCAGCCACUUCUUUUCACUGGCGAUCCUUAACGCCGUGAUCCCACAUCAAUGCCCUACGAGGUGUUUUGCAGGUUUUUUUUACAAUAUAAACUGCUUGCUGUCUUUGGGGCAACACCUGAUUUACUUUAAGCAAUGUCAUUGGCUUAUUGUAUUCACACUUUCGAUAUGAAUGUAAUUACUUCUGUCUUCAACAGUUGUUGCUGGUGAGGAGAUCAUACUGCACAACGAAUCUGUAAACCUUCUGCUUUGGAGGAUUUUGUGGUUUAUUUUCAAUAAAUAAAUAAAGUGUGAAAGGUAUCUGGUUUAA
ensembl:lncRNA